CCCAGCGUGGUGUAGUGGUUUGAAUGCCAGACUAGGACUCUGAAGAUCAGGGUUCAAAUCCCAGCUCAGCAA